rnacentral:lncRNA from 10 species
UCCCAUGAGAACACAGGCGUCCCAUGAGGGCACAGGCGUCCCAUGAGGGCACAGGCGUCCCAUGAGAACACAGGCGUCCCAUGAGGGCACAGGCGUCCCAUGAGGGCACAGGCGUCCCAUGAGAACACAGGCGUCCCAUGAGGGCACAGGCGUCCCAUGAGGGCACAGGCGUCCCAUGAGGGCACAGGCGUCCCAUGAGAACACAGGCGUCCCAUGAGGGGCACAGGCGUCCCAUGAGAACACAGGCGUCCCAUGAGGGCACAGGCGUCCCAUGAGGGGCACAGGCGUCCCAUGAGAACACAGGCGUCCCAUGAGGGCACAGGCGUCCCAUGAGGGCACAGGCGUCCCAUGAGAACACAGGCGUCCCAUGAGGGCACAGGCGUCCCAUGAGAACACAGGCGUCCCAUGAGGGCACAGGUGUCCCAUGAGAACACAGGCGUCCCAUGAGAACACAGGUGUCCCAUGAGGGCACAGGUGUCCCAUGAGAAUUCAGGCGUCCCAUGCGGGGCACGGGCAUCCCAUGAGAACACAGGCAUCCCAUGAGGGGCACAGGCGUCCCAUGAGGGUACAGGCAUCCCAUGAGAACACAGGCGUCCCAUGAGCGGCACAGUAUCGGCCCUGAGAAGCGGGGGCACCCCAGGGAGGGCAGGGCUGGCAGGAGACGGGGGCUGAUCGCAGCACAUGCUGGGGCCCCAUGGCCCCUCCCUUUGCUUACGGUUCAGUUCUGAAGCAGGACAGUGUCGGGAGGCUCCAUGCGAGGAACUGACUGGGGAGGCAGCUGCCUUUUGUCACUGGAGGUCACCAAGCAGAAAGGGGAUCUGGAGAGGGAUGUGGGGCUCGGGGAGGAGGGGCCGGCAGCUGGGAGGUGAGGCCAGGAGGGAAACAAACAGCCAGGUCUUGCCCAGGCACUGCCCUGCCCAGUGAGUAGACAAGUGAGCCUCAGUCCAGCCUCACAUGACUCAGGCACCUACACAGAGAGACAUUGUGUGUUCUGAGGUUGAGUGCCUCAUGAUGGACUAAGCCCUGAUCCCAGGCUAAGCCCCCUAUGCUUGACUGAGCCCUGCUCCUAGGCCCAGCCCCCCACUCUGCACUGAACACUGAUCCAAGGCUUAGUCCCUCAUCCUAGACUGAGUCCUGAUUGCUGAGUCCCAGGCCCAGCCCCCGUCCUAGACUGAGCCUUGAUCCCAGGACCAGCCCCCCACUCUGUACUGAGCCUGCAUCCCAAGCCCAGUCCCCAUCCUAGACUGAGCCCUAAUCCCUGGACUGAGCUCUCAUCCCAGGCUCAGUCCACAUCCAAGACUAAGCCCUAAUCCCAGGCUCAGCCCCCUACCCUGGACUGAAUGCUGAUCCCAGGCUUGGUCCACAUCCUAGACUGAACCCUAAUCCCAGACACAGCCUCCAAUCCUGGACCAAGACCCCCAGGUCCCAAUCCCAACCUCCAACCUAGACUGAUGCCUGACCCCAGGCUCAGCUCUGACUCCAAGAUGAGCCCUGACCCUGGCUGAGCCCCAAUCCUGAACUGAGCCCUGAUCCCUGGCUGAACCCUGACCCUGACUUAGCCUAUGAUAAUGGACAAACCCAGACCUUGACCCUUGAUCCUGGUUAGAACUUGCUCCUGGACUGGACCGGGCACAGUGGUUCACACCUGUAAUCCCAGCACUUUGGGAGGCUGAGACGGGCAGGUAAUUUGAGGUCAGGAGCUGGAGAACAUCCUGGCCAACAUGAGGAAACCCUGUCUCUACUAAAAAUACAAAAGUUAGCCGGGUGUGGUGGCGGGUGCUAUUCGAAAGGCUGAGGCAGGAGAAUCGCUGGAACCCAGGAGGCAGAGGUUGCAGUGAGCUGAUCGAGCCACAGCACUCCAGCCUGGGAGACAAGAGUGAAACUCCAUUUCAAAACAAAACAAAACUUAAUCUAACCAUUAUCCCCACACUGCAGAAGGGCAGGCCCCUCUUCUAGAAAUUCACCCUGAAGACAGGGCUCUAACGAGACCGAGUAUAUGUGCAAAAGGUCAUCGCCUAAACUGCUGUUUGUGAAUGCACAACGCUGGUUUCAACCCGAAUGUGCACACACAGGACAGAGGUGAAUGAAUGAACUAUGCCACAGUCCAGAAAGGAGGGCUCUGCAGCUGUGCAAAAGAACAAGAACGAGCUCCAUGAAUGGAACGCAGCGCUUGCCGGGACAUGUUGGGAUUUUACAAUUUUUAUUUUAUUUAUUUAUUUAUUUAUUUAUUUAGAGAUGGAGUCUCGCUCUGUUGCCCAGGCUGGAG